GACCUCGAUGAUUGAUGGUUAUUCCGCGCGUAAUUGUUGCAACGAGGCCUUGAAGCUUUUUUUAUCACAUUUUGAGCGAUAUCGAGCUCGAAGUUACCAUGAUUUCGGUGCUUCAAGCUUGCUCUCCUAAAGGGGACUUGAGUAUGGGAAAGUGUUAGCCUCCGGUGCAUCCCUUCAUACUCAAGACUGGACAUUCUAAAGCUCAGAACUAGACAUUCAAGUGUUACUGAACAUCUGUGGGUGGUCCACCAUCAAUGGCCUUAAUAUACCUCCUUCUCAUCUUCUGUAUGCACCCAUAUCAUGGUUCAUGAGCAAUUCCCACCCUACAACCAUGCAUUGCAUCACUCGUUUUUACGGCCACCACCAAUAGCGUUAUGAGGCUAAACAUAAUUUGAGGUACGCAGAGGUAAACUUUAUGAACCUUAUAGCAU
rnacentral:misc_RNA from 1 species